GAUGCCCGGCCGCGCGGCUCUGCCAACCCCAGCCCCGCUCCCAAGUGGGCACGACUGAGGGGGCCUGGCUUCGGGCUCUGGUGCCGGUGGAUGAAAAGCCUGGGAGCCCCGGUGUGGGGUCAGAGAGCCAAUCCGAAUUCGAAAAGCCAUGGACGGAAGUCCUGGGCCGCAGCCCCCCGGGGAAGGGCAGCAGCAGCAGGCGCGGGCCGCGGCAGGAGCUGUCCAAGAGCAGGGCGAGCCCGAGACCUUCAGGUCCAAGAGUUUGCCGGUCCUGAACAGCGCCUCCUGCCGGCCGAGCCGCAGUCCUGUGCGAGUGGACGUCCAGCCGGCCUUCGCCCGCUUGGAUUCUUUGGGCCAUCAGGAGCUGAAGCAAGGCCAGGACCUGUUGGCUCCCAGCCCCUCAGCCCCGACCCCCUCGGACGGGACUGCGGGGCCUGUGGACUGCAGCCACAGGGUGGACCUCACCAAGGAGCCGCUGGCCCCGCUCCGGGACACAAGGUGCCUCUACAUGGUCCUCACCGACUCCCGCUGCUUCCUGGUUUGCAUGUGCUUUCUGACUUUCAUCCAGGCGCUGAUGGUCUCCGGCUACCUGAGCAGCGUCAUCACCACCAUCGAAAGGCGCUACAGCCUGAAGAGCUCCGAGUCCGGGCUGCUGGUCAGCUGCUUUGACAUCGGGAACCUGGUGGUGGUGGUGUUCGUCAGCUACUUCGGUGGCCGCGGGCGGCGGCCCCUGUGGCUGGCGGUGGGCGGCCUGCUCAUCGCGGUCGGGGCUGCGCUCUUCGCCUUACCUCACUUCAUCUCCCCACCCUACCAGAUCCAGGAGCUGAACGCCUCGGCCUCCAACGACGGCCUGUGUCAGAAUGGCAACUCCACCACCACUGUGGAGCUUCCUCCUCCCUGCCCGAAGGACUCGGGAGGAAACAACCACUGGGUCUACGUGGCUUUAUUCAUCUGUGCACAGAUCCUCAUUGGAAUGGGCUCCACACCUAUUUACACCCUGGGACCAACCUACCUAGAUGAUAAUGUUAAGAAGGAAAACGCAUCCCUGUACCUCGCCAUCAUGUAUGUCAUGGGAGCGCUUGGCCCGGCAGUGGGAUAUUUAUUAGGUGGACUUCUUAUUGGUUUUUAUGUUGAUCCCAGAAAUCCUGUUCACCUUGACCAGAAUGAUCCUCGCUUCAUUGGAAACUGGUGGAGUGGAUUCCUCCUUUGUGCCAUUGCAAUGUUUCUUGUGAUAUUCCCAAUGUUUACUUUUCCAAAAAAGCUUCCACCUCGACACAAGAAAAAGAAAAAGAAAAAAUUCUCUGUGGAUGCUGUGAGCGAUGAUGACGUCAUAAAAGAGAAAUCAAACAAUAGUGAACAAGUGGACAAAAGGGUUUCCUCAAUGGGAUUUGGAAAGAAUGUCAGAGACCUACCAAGAGCAGCUGUCAGGAUCUUAAGCAACAUGACAUUCCUUUUUGUGAGUCUGUCAUACACAGCUGAGAGUGCCAUUGUAACUGCUUUCAUUACCUUCAUUCCCAAGUUCAUCGAGUCACAGUUUGGUAUCCCAGCUUCCAAUGCCAGCAUCUACACUGGUGUUAUUAUCGUCCCCAGUGCUGGUGUUGGUAUUGUCUUGGGAGGCUACAUUAUAAAAAAAUUGAAACUUGGUGCAAGAGAAUCUGCAAAGCUAGCAAUGAUCUGCAGUGGUGUGUCCUUACUGUGUUUUUCAACCUUGUUCAUUGUUGGAUGUGAGAGUAUUAAUCUAGGGGGCAUAAACAUCCCAUAUACAACAGGACCUUCUCUGACCAUGCCCCACAGGAAUCUGACGGGAAGCUGCAAUGUUAACUGUGGUUGUAAAAUACACGAGUAUGAACCAGUGUGUGGAUCGGAUGGGAUUACAUACUUUAACCCUUGUCUGGCUGGCUGCAUUAAUAGUGGCAAUCUUAGCACGGGGAUUCGGAAUUACACUGAAUGCACCUGCGUCCAGAGCCGCCAAGUGAUCACCCCACCCACCGUGGGGCAGCGUGGCCAGCUCCGAGUGGUGAUAGUCAAAACCUAUCUGAACGAGAAUGGGUAUGCUGUGUCGGGGAAGUGCAAGCGGACCUGCAACACGCUCAUCCCCUUCUUAGUGUUCCUGUUCAUUGUCACCUUCAUCACAGCGUGUGCCCAGCCGUCAGCCAUCAUAGUCACACUCAGGUCUGUGGAAGACGAAGAGAGACCUUUCGCUCUGGGGAUGCAGUUUGUCUUGCUGCGAACACUUGCGUACAUUCCGACUCCCAUCUACUUUGGAGCAGUGAUCGACACCACCUGCAUGCUGUGGCAGCAGGACUGCGGGGUGCAGGGCUCCUGCUGGGAGUACAACGUGACGUCCUUCCGUUUCGUCUACUUCGGCUUGGCGGCUGGCCUCAAGUUCGUGGGCUUUAUUUUUAUUUUCCUGGCCUGGUACUCCAUUAAGUGCAAGGAGGACGAGGUGCAGAGGCAGCAGCGCCGAGAGCUGCCCCUCAGCACGGUGAGCGAGCUCGUGCGCCAGCCCGACGCUGCGGCGAAGCACGCCCGGACUACCUCGUGCCCGGCCUUCUGCACCCCGGGGGAGGUCCCCGAAGACACUGGCUUGCAGAAAGGCGUGGCCUCUGCAGUGCAGACCUCCCCCGGGCCCUUCCCGGAAGCAAUAAGCUCCUCUGCAGAGCCAGGGUUGGCGGAGAGCCCUGCUGCCGUGUAGCCCGCCUGCGGAAGCUGGGAAACCACUCGUUUUGUUGGUUGAGUUGAACACGGCGACUUGAGAAACACCUGUGCCUUCUUUUUCUUUUUUAACCUCUACAGACACAAUCUCAACCCAACAAAACUCAUUGUACACAGCCACUACGGACUGAGGGCUGGAUACCUCAACGAGACUGGAGCCUUUCUCUCCCCUCUGCAAGGAGGAGGUCGGUAGAUUCGGUACUUCUCCUGCUGUGGUAGUUUACUGCUCAUGCUGCAGUGUGGGGUGAGACUGAGGUCCGUGGUUGACACAACCACGGAAAGGGCAGUGGCCCUGGGUGUCGUUAGGAUAUACUUCAAAUCGUGACUUUGCUUUUGCAAAUCGAAGAUUUUAGAUUUGGAUGUCUACUGUGAGCUCUGCUACAAAGCACAAAUGAAUUUGCCUCAUCUAUGCAAUUUGAUUGGGAAAAUCUGAUCCAUGAACUCCACGCUGCAAGAGUGAAGCGUCUGAGGGGGACUGCUUUUCUAUGGGUAACUCAAAUGCUUUUGAUAUGAAUUUCACAAGAAUGAUCAGAUGCUAAAACUGAUUUCAAAGAUAGGUAAAACUAUUUCAGAUAAUCUUUUCAUAUUUUUUUUCCUCCAAACAGCAUACACCCAUGUGGGGUGUUUUUAGCAGUGAGGUUUUAAAGGUAUUGUCCUUUUCUGGUAGUCUAUCAGAAGAAGUCAACAUUUACAGAGAAAAUGUCACUGAAAACUAAUUGCAAGGAUGUAUUAAACCAAAGGGGUGAGAAAAAGAAGCUUACGGUUUGUAUGUAGAACUAGAAAAUAGAAAUAAUUGGUAAGAUUUGGCAGUGGGCAUUUUUCUUAAAAUAGAUAUACCUCUACCCCAACCCCCAAAUGUUAACGUAGAAGCAUGAAGCCUCUUAACACGGCAGCUUGAGGAGAUGCAGUCCUGUGUCGAAGGAGCCGGCGGUAGAGUCUCAGUGGAGUGUGAGUUCAGUGUGCUUGUGUUUCUCUGUGUAGAGGUGUGCUUGUGACGAAGGGCUGCUCUGAGUUAUUACAUAAAGGAGUUUGCUUUGUGAUUUUUAAGAUGAAUGUUUAUUCAGAGGCCUACCUGGAUUAAUUUAAAAGAUGUAUGCCUUCCUUGUGUUCAAUGAAACUGAUUGUCAAUGUACUGAUAAACCUUGGUUUACAAUAUCUUGAAUACUUGAUCAUUGAAUAUUAAGGAAAAAAAUUUUAAAAAAUGAAUAAAGUGUGUGGCAUUGAAAUUA